UUCAAACAACAGAGUUCCAUUCUUCAGAAGACAGAGACUACCAUAAAUAACAAAGUAUCUCAGUAUGCCCCACCCCUACCCUGUUUUCCUCCACAGACGUAUUUAACACCUCAGCUAGUCUGUUACACAAUACCUCCUCAGAGUGCUGAGUGAAGACAUGAGUGAACACAAUACACUAUUUGCUCAUGGCACCUAAGCCUCUCCAGUCUUGAGGCCCACCCCUCUCCCUUCUCUGGUAAGAAGAGAGGUGACUCAUCUCUGCAGCUCUUUUGGAUGCAGAAGUCUGACUCUCUCCGGCUCUAUAGCUACCUUCUGGGUUGUCCCACUCCUACCGAGACAGCCAUAGAUCCCACUAGGCCAGUUAAACCUUAGGGUCAAACAUAAUAGCUUUAGGAUUUAACCAGGUAGACAUAGUUGGAAAAUUUUCCAUUUUGAGAUCCAGGAAAAGAGGUUGAAGUCAGUGGGGUGCCAGAAACUGUUACCUAGGUGGCCUUGGAUCCUGUUUGUGACCAAGCUUGACACAGCAGACUCAGGGCAUCUGAUUUCACCCCAUCUCUUCUUCCUUGAUUACUUCCUCAGUUGUGAGAAUUCAGGUGGGCCCUCUGGUCUCUGAAGAAGCAUGAUGUUUUGGAAGUGACUCCUGCCCUGACUGCUCUAGGUUGACCUCUUGGCAGUCCCAAUGACACUGACCUGCAGUGUGGAACUGGCUUACAUCAGCAUGUUAUUACUAAUUAUUGAGAUGAGUUAGAGUUCUACAGGCUAAAAAAAGAUGUCACUCCCCGAACUGACGGCGAUUUAGGCUCAUCAACUCUGCAGACAUGAAUCCCAGGACAAAUUUAUUGUUUUUUUAAAAAAUUUCUUAGCAUACAAUUAUUUACAUGUUCCUUAUUUUUUAUUUUUCAUUUUAUUUUUAUAUUCCUCCCUUUCACUUUUUA